CCCGCUCAGAAACUUAAAGGAAUUGACGGGGACCCGCACAAGCAGCGGAGCAUGUGGUUUAAUUCGAAGCAACGCGAAGAACCUUACCAGAUCUUGACAUCCAAUUGACCAUCUUUUAAUCGAGAUUUUGCCUUCGGGUACAAUUGAGACAGGUGGUGCAUGGUUGUCGUCAGCUCGUGUCGUGAGAUGUUGGGUUAAGUCCCGCAACGAGCGCAACCCUUGUGUUUAGUUGCAAACAGGUCAAGCUGUGCACUCUAGACAGACUGCCGUGGACAACACGGAGGAAGGUGGGGAUGACGUCAAAUCAUCAUGCCCCUUAUGAUCUGGGCUACACACGUGCUACAAUGGCCGGUACAACGGGCAGCGAAGGAGCGAUCCGGAGCGAAUCCUAAAAAGCCGGUCCCAGUUCGGAUUGCAGGCUGAAACUCGCCUACAUGAAGUUGGAGUUGCUAGUAAUCGCGAAUCAGAAUGUCGCGGUGAAUGCGUUCCCGGGUCUU
rnacentral:rRNA from 1 species